GAUGAAGAACGUAGCGAAAUGCGAUAAGUAGUGUGAAUUGCAGAAUUCAGUGAAUCAUCGAAUCUUUGAACGCACAUUGCGCCCUUUGGUAUUCCAAAGGGCAUGCCUGUUCGAGCGUCAUUUGUACCCUCAAGCUUUGCUUGGUGUUGGGCGUCUUGUCUCUAGCUUUGCUGGAGACUCGCCUUAAAGUAAUUGGCAGCCGGCCUACUGGUUUUGGAGCGCAGCACAAGUCGCACUCUCUAUCAGCAAAGGUCUAGCAUCCAUUAAGCCUUUUUUUCAACUUUUGACCUCGGAUCAGGUAGGGAUACCCGCUGAACUUAAGCAUAUCAAUAAGCGGAGGA
rnacentral:misc_RNA from 1 species